CCUAUGGGAGGCAGCAGUGAGGAAUAUUGGUCAAUGGGCGAGAGCCUGAACCAGCCAAGUCGCGUGAAGGAUGACGGCCCUACGGGUUGUAAACUUCUUUUGUCAGGGAGCAAUUGGGUCCACGCGUGGGCUUAGCGAGAGUACCUGAAGAAAAAGCAUCGGCUAACUCCGUGCCAGCAGCCGCGGUAAUACGGAGGAUGCGAGCGUUAUCCGGAUUUACUGGGUGUAAAGGGCGUGUAGGCGGGAAAGCAAGUCAGAUGUGAAAACCAUGGGCUCAACCUGUGGCCUGCAUUUGAAACUGUUUUUCUUGAGUACUGGAGAGGCAGACGGAAUUCCUAGUGUAGCGGUGAAAUGCGUAGAUAUUAGGAGGAACACCAGUGGCGAAGGCGGUCUGCUGGACAGCAACUGACGCUGAGGCGCGAAAGCGUGGGGAGCAAACAGGAUUAGAUACCCGAGUAGUC
rnacentral:rRNA from 1 species